UUACUGGAGGAAGGUGGGGAUGACGUCAAGUCAUCAUGGCCCUUACGGCCAGGGCUACACACGUGCUACAAUGGUCGGUACAAAGGGUUGCCAAGCCGCGAGGUGGAGCUAAUCCCAUAAAACCGAUCGUAGUCCGGAUCGCAGUCUGCAACUCGACUGCGUGAAGUCGGAAUCGCUAGUAAUCGUGAAUCAGAAUGUCACGGUGAAUACGUUCCCGGGCCUUGUACACACCGCCCGUCACACCAUGGGAGUGGGUUGCUCCAGAAGUAGCUAGUCUAACCGCAAGGGGGACGGUUACCACGGAGUGAUUCAUGACUGGGGGAAGUCGAUCAAGAGCUGCC
rnacentral:rRNA from 1 species